UACGAAGGGGGCUAGCGUUGCUCGGAAUCACUGGGCGUAAAGGGUGCGUAGGCGGGUUUUUAAGUCAGAGGUGAAAUCCUGGAGCUCAACUCCAGAACUGCCUUUGAUACUGAAAGUCUUGAGUACGGGAGAGGUGAGUGGAACUGCGAGUGUAGAGGUGAAAUUCGUAGAUAUUCGCAAGAACACCAGUGGCGAAGGCGGCUCACUGGCUCGUAACUGACGCUGAGGCACGAAAGCGUGGGGAGCAAACAGG
rnacentral:rRNA from 1 species